UUAAGCGACUAAGCGUACACGGUGGAUGCCCUGGCAGUCAGAGGCGAUGAAGGACGUGCUAAUCUGCGAUAAGCGUCGGUAAGGUGAUAUGAACCGUUAUAACCGGCGAUUUCCGAAUGGGGAAACCCAGUGUGUUUCGACACACUAUCAUUAACUGAAUCCAUAGGUUAAUGAGGCGAACCGGGGGAACUGAAACAUCUAAGUACCCCGAGGAAAAGAAAUCAACCGAGAUUCCCCCAGUAGCGGCGAGCGAACGGGGAGCAGCCCAGAGCCUGAAUCAGUGUGUGUGUUAGUGGAAGCGUCUGGAAAGGCGCGCGAUACAGGGUGACAGCCCCGUACACAAAAAUGCACAUGCUGUGAGCUCGAUGAGUAGGGCGGGACACGUGGUAUCCUGUCUGAAUAUGGGGGGACCAUCCUCCAAGGCUAAAUACUCCUGACUGACCGAUAGUGAACCAGUACCGUGAGGGAAAGGCGAAAAGAACCCCGGCGAGGGGAGUGAAAAAGAACCUGAAACCGUGUACGUACAAGCAGUGGGAGCACGCUUAGGCGUGUGACUGCGUACCUUUUGUAUAAUGGGUCAGCGACUUAUAUUCUGUAGCAAGGUUAACCGAAUAGGGGAGCCGAAGGGAAACCGAGUCUUAACUGGGCGUUAAGUUGCAGGGUAUAGACCCGAAACCCGGUGAUCUAGCCAUGGGCAGGUUGAAGGUUGGGUAACACUAACUGGAGGACCGAACCGACUAAUGUUGAAAAAUUAGCGGAUGACUUGUGGCUGGGGGUGAAAGGCCAAUCAAACCGGGAGAUAGCUGGUUCUCCCCGAAAGCUAUUUAGGUAGCGCCUCGUGAAUUCAUCUCCGGGGGUAGAGCACUGUUUCGGCAAGGGGGUCAUCCCGACUUACCAACCCGAUGCAAACUGCGAAUACCGGAGAAUGUUAUCACGGGAGACACACGGCGGGUGCUAACGUCCGUCGUGAAGAGGGAAACAACCCAGACCGCCAGCUAAGGUCCCAAAGUCAUGGUUAAGUGGGAAACGAUGUGGGAAGGCCCAGACAGCCAGGAUGUUGGCUUAGAAGCAGCCAUCAUUUAAAGAAAGCGUAAUAGCUCACUGGUCGAGUCGGCCUGCGCGGAAGAUGUAACGGGGCUAAACCAUGCACCGAAGCUGCGGCAGCGACGCUGAUGCGUUGUUGGGUAGGGGAGCGUUCUGUAAGCCUGCGAAGGUGUGCUGUGAGGCAUGCUGGAGGUAUCAGAAGUGCGAAUGCUGACAUAAGUAACGAUAAAGCGGGUGAAAAGCCCGCUCGCCGGAAGACCAAGGGUUCCUGUCCAACGUUAAUCGGGGCAGGGUGAGUCGACCCCUAAGGCGAGGCCGAAAGGCGUAGUCGAUGGGAAACAGGUUAAUAUUCCUGUACUUGGUGUUACUGCGAAGGGGGGACGGAGAAGGCUAUGUUGGCCGGGCGACGGUUGUCCCGGUUUAAGCGUGUAGGCUGGUUUUCCAGGCAAAUCCGGAAAAUCAAGGCUGAGGCGUGAUGACGAGGCACUACGGUGCUGAAGCAACAAAUGCCCUGCUUCCAGGAAAAGCCUCUAAGCAUCAGGUAACAUCAAAUCGUACCCCAAACCGACACAGGUGGUCAGGUAGAGAAUACCAAGGCGCUUGAGAGAACUCGGGUGAAGGAACUAGGCAAAAUGGUGCCGUAACUUCGGGAGAAGGCACGCUGAUAUGUAGGUGAAGUCCCUCGCGGAUGGAGCUGAAAUCAGUCGAAGAUACCAGCUGGCUGCAACUGUUUAUUAAAAACACAGCACUGUGCAAACACGAAAGUGGACGUAUACGGUGUGACGCCUGCCCGGUGCCGGAAGGUUAAUUGAUGGGGUUAGCCGCAAGGCGAAGCUCUUGAUCGAAGCCCCGGUAAACGGCGGCCGUAACUAUAACGGUCCUAAGGUAGCGAAAUUCCUUGUCGGGUAAGUUCCGACCUGCACGAAUGGCGUAAUGAUGGCCAGGCUGUCUCCACCCGAGACUCAGUGAAAUUGAACUCGCUGUGAAGAUGCAGUGUACCCGCGGCAAGACGGAAAGACCCCGUGAACCUUUACUAUAGCUUGACACUGAACAUUGAGCCUUGAUGUGUAGGAUAGGUGGGAGGCUUUGAAGUGUGGACGCCAGUCUGCAUGGAGCCGACCUUGAAAUACCACCCUUUAAUGUUUGAUGUUCUAACGUGGACCCGUAAUCCGGGUUGCGGACAGUGUCUGGUGGGUAGUUUGACUGGGGCGGUCUCCUCCUAAAGAGUAACGGAGGAGCACGAAGGUUGGCUAAUCCUGGUCGGACAUCAGGAGGUUAGUGCAAUGGCAUAAGCCAGCUUGACUGCGAGCGUGACGGCGCGAGCAGGUGCGAAAGCAGGUCAUAGUGAUCCGGUGGUUCUGAAUGGAAGGGCCAUCGCUCAACGGAUAAAAGGUACUCCGGGGAUAACAGGCUGAUACCGCCCAAGAGUUCAUAUCGACGGCGGUGUUUGGCACCUCGAUGUCGGCUCAUCACAUCCUGGGGCUGAAGUAGGUCCCAAGGGUAUGGCUGUUCGCCAUUUAAAGUGGUACGCGAGCUGGGUUUAGAACGUCGUGAGACAGUUCGGUCCCUAUCUGCCGUGGGCGCUGGAGAACUGAGGGGGGCUGCUCCUAGUACGAGAGGACCGGAGUGGACGCAUCACUGGUGUUCGGGUUGUCAUGCCAAUGGCACUGCCCGGUAGCUAAAUGCGGAAGAGAUAAGUGCUGAAAGCAUCUAAGCACGAAACUUGCCCCGAGAUGAGUUCUCCCUGACUCCUUGAGAGUCCUGAAGGAACGUUGAAGACGACGACGUUGAUAGGCCGGGUGUGUAAGCGCAGCGAUGCGUUGAGCUAACCGGUACUAAUGAACCGUGAGGCUUAACCUU
rnacentral:rRNA from 1 species